rnacentral:rRNA from 1 species
UACGUAGGGUGCAGGCGUUAAUCGGAAUUACUGGGCGUAAAGGGCGCGUAGGCGGCUUUUUAAGUCAGACGUGAAAUCCCCCGGCUUAACCUGGGAACUGCGUCUGAUACUGGGAAGCUUGAGUUCGGGAGAGGGAUGUAGAAUUCCAGGUGUAGCGGUGAAACGCGUAGAUAUCUGGAGGAAUACCGGUGGCGAAGGCGGCAUCCUGGACCGAAACUGACGCUGAGGCGCGAAAGCUAGGGGAGCAAACGGG